AUUGAACGCUGGCGGCAUGCCUUACACAUGCAAGUCGAACGGUAACAGGUCUUCGGAUGCUGGCGAGUGGCGAACGGGUGAGUAAUGCAUCGGAACGUGCCCAGUAGUGGGGGAUAGCCCGGCGAAAGCCGGAUUAAUACCGCAUACGACCUGAGGGUGAAAGGGGGGGAUCGCAAGACCUCUCGCUAUUGGAGCGGCCGAUGUCAGAUUAGCUAGUUGGUGGGGUAAAGGCCUACCAAGGCAACGAUCUGUAGUUGGUCUGAGAGGACGACCAGCCACACUGGGACUGAGACACGGCCCAGACUCCUACGGGAGGCAGCAGUGGGGAAUUUUGGACAAUGGGCGCAAGCCUGAUCCAGCAAUGCCGCGUGCAGGAAGAAGGCCUUCGGGUUGUAAACUGCCUUUGUCAGGGAAGAAAUCUUCUGGGUUAAUACCUCGGGAGGAUGACGGUACCUGAAGAAUAAGCACCGGCUAACUACGUGCCAGCAGCCGCCGUAAAAC
rnacentral:rRNA from 1 species